UACGGAGGGUGCAAGCGUUAAUCGGAAUUACUGGGCGUAAAGAGUACGUAGGUUGUUCGUUUAGUCAGAUGUGAAAGCCCAGGGCUUAACCUUGGAACUGCAUUUGAUACUGGCGAGCUAGAGUAUGGUAGAGGGGGGUAGAAUUCAUAGUGUAGCGGUGAAAUGCGUAGAUAUUAUGAGGAAUACCGGUGGCGAAGGCGGCCCCCUGGCCCAAUACUGACACUGAGGUACGAAAGCGUGGGGAGCAAACAGG
rnacentral:rRNA from 1 species